rnacentral:rRNA from 1 species
GAUGAACGCUGGCGGCGUGCCUAAUACAUGCAAGUCGAGCGAAUGGAUUAAGAGCUUGCUCUUAUGAAGUUAGCGGCGGACGGGUGAGUAACAUGUGGGUAACCUGCCCAUAAGACUGGGAUAACUCCGGGAAACCGGGGCUAAUACCGGAUAACAUUUUGAACCGCAUGGUUCGAAAUUGAAAGGCGGCUUCGGCUGUCACUUAUGGAUGGACCCGCGUCGCAUUAGCUAGUUGGUGAGGUAACGGCUCACCAAGGCAACGAUGCGUAGCCGGCCUAAGAGGGUGAUCGGCCACACUGGGACUGGGACACGGCCCAGACUCCUACGGGAGGCAGCAGUAGGGAAUCUUCCGCAAUGGACGAAAGUCUGACGGAGCAACGCCGCGUGAGUGAUGAAGGCUUUCGGGUCGUAAAACUCUGUUGUUAGGGAAGAACAAGUGCUAGUUGAAUAAGCUGGCACCUUGACGGUACCUAACCAGAAGGCCACGGCUAACUACGUGCCAGCCGCCGCCGUAA